GACGAACGCUGGCGGCGUGCUUAACACAUGCAAGUCGAACGGAGUGGCGAACGGGUGAGUAACACGUGGGUGAUCUGCCUUGCACUUCGGGAUAAGCUUGGGAAACCGGGUCUAAUACCGGAUAGUGCAAGAUGAGCUCGCGGCCUAUCAGCUUGUUGGUGGGGUAAUGGCCUACCAAGGCGUCGACGGGUAGCCGGCCUGAGAGGGUGUACGGCGACAUUGGGACUGAGAUACGGCCCAGACUGCUACGGGAGGCAGCGGUGGAGAUUAUUGCACAAUGGGGGGAAGCGUGAGGCGGCGGCGCCGCGUGGGGGAUGAAGGCCUUCUGGUUGUAAACUCCUUUCGACAGGGACGCGGUACCUGUAUAAGAAGCACCGGCUAACUACGUGCCAGCAGCCGCGGUAAUUC
rnacentral:rRNA from 1 species